UACGGGGGGGGCAAGCGUUGUUCGGAAUUACUGGGCGUAAAGGGCGCGUAGGCGGCACGGCAAGUCAGGAGUGAAAGCCCGGGGCUCAACCCCGGAACUGCUUUUGAAACUGCCGAGCUAGAGUGCGGAAGGGGCAACCGGAAUUCCCAGUGUAGCGGUGAAAUGCGUAGAUAUUGGGAAGAACACCUGAGGCGAAGGCGGGUUGCUGGGCCGACACUGACGCUGAGGCGCGAAAGCCAGGGGAGCGAACGGG
rnacentral:rRNA from 1 species